rnacentral:rRNA from 1 species
UCAGNCGGUACUCGCGAAUGCUCUAGAUUAAACGUUGAUCAUGGACUCAGACUGAACGCUGGCGUGAUANGCCUAACACAUGCAAGUCGAACGGCAGCACAGAGGAGCUUGCUCCUUGGGUGGCGAGUGGCGGACGGGCGAGGAAUACAUCGGAAUCUACUCUGUCGUGGGGGAUAACGUAGGGAAACUUACGCUAAUACCUGCAUACGACCUACGGGUGAAAGCAGUGGUGAUCUUCGGACCUUGCGCGAUUGAAUGAGCCUGAUGUCGGAUUAGCUAGUUGGCGGGGUAAAUGUGCCCACCAAGGCGACGAUCCGUAGCUGGUCUGAGAGGAUGAUCAGCCACACUGGAACUGAGACACGGUCCAGACUCCUACGGGAGUGCAGCAGUGGGGAAUAUUGGACAAUGGGCGCAAGCCUGAUCCAGCCAUACCGCGUGGGUGAAGAAGGCCUUCGGGUUGUAAAGCCCUUUUGUUGGGAAAGAAAUCCAGCUGGCUAAUACCCGGUUGGGAUGACGGUACCCAAAGAAUAAGCACCGGCUAACUUCGUGCCAGCAGCCGCGGUAAUACGAAGGGUGCAAGCGUUACUCGGAAUUACUGGGCGUNAAAGCGUUCAGUAGGUGGUCCGUUAAGUCCGUUGUGAAGCCUUGUGGUCAACUGGAACUUGCAGUUGGAUACUGACGACUAAGUUUGACAGGGUACGGAUCCUGGUUGGUUCGCCGUGUGAAAUUGGCGGGUUAAGNAUCUCCGGGGGGNACCUNCCCUUGGGGAAAGGGGCGUUUCCCUUGGACCACUUGGCCCUGGGGCCNUNACNUUGUUGGUGCGGNCCAGCGNNUUAUUCCCCUGUCGNCCCCAUGCUNCCACGUANGUGGUGGCNUGACGCGUUACCACUUUUUCUCGUGUGUAGGCNCAUUUGAUNUGGCCCCGUGUUUUUUCUCCUNCAUGU